CAGAAUCAUCACUAAGAAGAUUUCAGCUUGAAAAAGGUCUUAGAAAUCACUUUAGUCAGAGGCUCUUCAUCUUCUUUUUUUCUUAUCAUGGACCCUUUGGGCAGGUUAGUGAAACCUAUGGCCUCUUUCCCUGAAUAAUGUUUUUAAAUGCAUCAACUAAAAUACAUAGGAUUAUAAAGGAAACCUAUUAUAUUUUCCCUUGUUUUUAAAUUUUAUUGUAUUUUUUCAUACUGUUCAUUUUUGUGAGUAAUCUUAUAAACCCCCCCCAAUAAACCCAAAUAAACAGAUGAAAAAUUGUCUGCCUUCAUCUGCAUUCUGACCCCAACAGUUCUUUCUCCAGAGGUGGCCAGCAUUCUUUGUCAUAAGUCCCUCAGCAUUCUCCUGGAACAUUGUAUUGCUGUUAGUUGCUAAGUCUAUCCCAGUUGAUCAUUCCACAGUAUUGCUGUUACUGUAUACAGUGUUUUCCUGGUUCUGCUCACUUCACUCUGCAUCAGUUCACGUAGGUCUCUCCAGCUCUUUCUGAAGUCAUCCUGUUCAUCACUCCUUACAGCACAGUAGUAUUCCAUCACCAUCAAACAUCACAAUUUGGGAAACCUAUUAUAUUGAAACAAAGUUUUAACUUUUUUCCUAUCCAAAUUCAUGGACUCUCUGAUAUCUACCCAUAGACUACUUCUAUAGAAGAUGGGUUACAGACAACUAAACUAACCCCUUUAUCACAGAGGAGAAAACGGAGUCAUAGAGAAGUGAAUUGUUGCCUAACAUCACACAGGUUUAGGCUGAAAUGGAGACCUGGUGUCUGUGGAAGAAGGGCUGCCUGUAGAGAACGGAGCACGGCCACAUUUUGUUUCAGAAACUCAAAGAGGAGCGAGAGUGAAGAGUGGCUGGCCUCGCUCCCACAGUCACCAAUUCGUUUUUUCUUGCAAUGAAAGAAAUCAUUUUUAAUAGCUCUAAGUCAGAGAACACAUGAAGCCUUUCAGUUCAAGUAACAACUUUUGGCAGAUAAGAGAAGAGCUCGAUCUAUCUGUGAAUGAGCUACUUUUAUAGGCAUCAAAUGAGCGAGGUGAAAUUGUCUUGGGAUUCCCAUACUUAGAUAGUAGAAUUCAUUUUAUAAUAAAGAAAAGAUCAACGGUUCCUUGAAGCUGGGC
rnacentral:lncRNA from 1 species